rnacentral:rRNA from 1 species
GAUGAACGCUGGCGGCGUGCCUAAUACAUGCCAGUCGAGCGAACGGACGAGAAGCUUGCUUCUCUGAUGUUAGCGGCGGACGGGUGAGUAACACGUGAUAACCUACCUAUAAGACUGGGAUAAACUCGGGAAACCGGAGCCAAUACCGGAUAAAAUUUUGAAACGCAUGGUUCAAAAGUGAAAGACGGUCUUGCUGUUACUUAUAGAUGGAUCCGCGCUGCAUUAGCUAGUUGGUAAGGUAACGGCUUACCAAGGCAACGAUGCAUAGCCGACCUGAGAGGGUGAUCGGCCACACUGGAACUGAGACACGGUCCAGACUCCUACGGGAGGCAGCAGUAGGGAAUCUUCCGCAAUGGGCGAAAGCCUGACGGAGCAACGCCGCGUGAGUGAUGAAGGUCUUCGGAUCGUAAAACUCUGUUAUUAGGGAAGAACAUAUGUGUAAGUAACUGUGCACAUCUUGACGGUACCUAAUCAGAAAGCCACGGCUAACUACGUG